rnacentral:piRNA from 1 species
AUGCCUCUACCAUGCUACUUGGUUGAUAGCC